rnacentral:rRNA from 1 species
CCUACGGGGGGCAGCAGUGGGGAAUAUUGGACAAUGGGGGGAACCCUGAUCCAGCCAUGCCGCGUGUGUGAAGAAGGCCCUCGGGUUGUAAAGCACUUUCAGUGAGGAAGAACGCCUGGAGGUUAAUACCCAUCAGGAAAGACAUCACUCACAGAAGAAGCACCGGCUAACUCCGUGCCAGCAGCCGCGGUAAUACGGAGGGUGCGAGCGUUAAUCGGAAUUACUGGGCGUAAAGCGCGCGUAGGUGGCUUGAUAAGCCGGUUGUGAAAGCCCCGGGCUCAACCUGGGAACGGCAUCCGGAACUGUCAAGCUAGAGUGCAGGAGAGGAAGGUAGAAUUCCCGGUGUAGCGGUGAAAUGCGUAGAGAUCGGGAGGAAUACCAGUGGCGAAGGCGGCCUUCUGGACUGACACUGACACUGAGGUGCGAAAGCGUGGGUAGCAAACAGGAUUAGAUACCCUGGUAGUC